rnacentral:rRNA from 1 species
GACAAUAUGAAGGUCAGGCUGAAGACCUUACCCGAUUAGCUGAGAGGUGGUGCAUGGCCGUCGUCAGUUCGUACUGUGAAGCAUCCUGUUAAGUCAGGCAACGAGCGAGACCCACGUCCACAGUUGCCAGCAUACCCGUCCGGGGUGAUGGGUACACUGUGGAGACCGCCGCUGCUAAAGCGGAGGAAGGAGUGGGCAACGGUAGGUCAGUAUGCCCCGAAUCUCCCGGGCUACACGCGGGCUACAAUGGUUGGUACAAUGGGCAUCUACCCCGAAAGGGGAAGGAAAUCUCUUAAAGCCAAUCGUAGUUCGGAUUGAGGGCUGCAACUCGCCCUCAUGAAGCUGGAAUCCGUAGUAAUCGCGUUUUAACAGAACGCGGUGAAUACGUCCCUGCUCCUU